rnacentral:rRNA from 1 species
CCUACGGGAGGCAGCAGUGAGGAAUAUUGGUCAAUGGACGAGAGUCUGAACCAGCCAAGUCGCGUGAAGGAUGACUGCCCUAUGGGUUGUAAACUUCUUUUAUAAAGGAAUAAAACGAGGCACGUGUGCCUUUUUGCAUGUACUUUAUGAAUAAGGAUAGGCUAACUCCGUGCCAGCAGCCGCGGUAAUACGGAGGAUCCGAGCGUUAUCCGGAUUUAUUGGGUUUAAAGGGAGCGUAGAUGGGUUGUUAAGUCAGGUGUGAAAGGUUGCGGCUCAACCGUAAAAUUGCAAUUGAUACUGGCAGUCUUGAGUACGUUUGAGGUAGGCGGAAUUCGUGGUGUAGCGGUGAAAUGCUUAGAUAUCACGAAGAACCCCGAUUGCGAAGGCAGCUUACUAAACUGUGACUGACAUUGAUGCUCGAAAGCGUGGGUAUCAAACAGGAUUAGAUACCCGUGUAGUC